rnacentral:rRNA from 1 species
GAUGAACGCUGGCGGCAGGCCUAACACAUGCAAGUCGAGCGGAGCGGCGGACGGGUGAGUAAUGACUAGGAAUCUGCCUGGUAGUGGGGGAUAACGUACGGAAACGGGCGCUAAGACUGCAUACGUUCAGAGUAGGCUAGGUCGGAUUAGCUAGUUGGUGGGGUAAAGGCCUACAAAGGCGACGAUCCGUAACUGGUAUGAGAGGAUGAUGAGUCACACUGAAAGUGAGACACGGUCCAGAAUCCUACGGGAGGAAGCAGUGGGGAAUAUUGGACAAUGGGCGAAAGCCUGAUCCAGCCAUGCCGCGUGUGUGAAGAAGGUUUUCGGAUUGUAAAGCACUUUAAGUUGGGAGGCGUUACCAACAGAAUAAGCACCGGCUAACUGCGUGCCAGCCGCCGCGGUAAUUC